AUUGAACGCUGGCGGAAUGCUUUACACAUGCAAGUCGAACGGCAGCACGGGGGCAACCCUGGUGGCGAGUGGCGAACGGGUGAGUAAUACAUCGGAACGUGCCCAGUCGUGGGGGAUAACUACGCGAAAGCGUAGCUAAUACCGCAUACGAACUCAGGUUGAAAGCGGGGGAUCGCAAGACCUCGCGCGAUUGGAGCGGCCGAUGGCAGAUUAGGUAGUUGGUGGGGUAAAGGCUCACCAAGCCGACGAUCUGUAGCUGGUCUGAGAGGACGACCAGCCACACUGGGACUGAGACACGGCCCAGACUCCUACGGGAGGCAGCAGUGGGGAAUUUUGGACAAUGGGCGCAAGCCUGAUCCAGCCAUUCCGCGUGCAGGAUGAAGGCCCUCGGGUUGUAAACUGCUUUUGUACGGAACGAAACGCGCCGGGCUAAUACCUCGGCGUAAUGACGGUACCGUAAGAAUAAGCACCGGCUAACUACGUGCCAGCCGCCGCAGUAAUAC
rnacentral:rRNA from 1 species